rnacentral:rRNA from 1 species
UACGUAGGGGGCAAGCGUUGUCCGGAAUUAUUGGGCGUAAAGCGCGCGUAGGCGGUUACUCAAGUCGGAUGUGAAAGCCCUCGGCUUAACUGAGGAAGUGCACCCGAAACUGAGUAGCUAGAGUACUAAAGAGGGUCGCGGAAUUCCCGGUGUAGAGGUGAAAUUCGUAGAUAUCGGGAGGAACACCGGUGGCGAAGGCGGCGACCUGGGUAGAUACUGACGCUGAGGCGCGAAAGCGUGGGGAGCAAACAGG